GUCAGCUCAUUAUUAUUCGUGGGGUAAAGGUCUGUUAAGUGAUAUCAGAUACUGUCAGUUCAUUAUUAUUCGUGGGGUAAAGGUCUGUUAAGUGAUAUCAGAUACUGUCAGUUCAUUAUUAUUCGUGGGGUAAAGGUCUGUUAAGUGAUAUCAGAUACUGUCAGUUCAUUAUUAUUCGUGGGGUAAAG